rnacentral:rRNA from 1 species
UACGUAGGUGGCGAGCGUUGUUCGGAAUUACUGGGCGUAAAGGGCGCGUAGGCGGCCUGCUAAGUCGGAUGUGAAAUCCCUCGGCUCAACCGAGGAACUGCAUCCGAUACUGGCGGGCUUGAAUCCGGGAGAGGGAUGUGGAAUUCCAGGUGUAGCGGUGAAAUGCGUAGAUAUCUGGAGGAACACCGGUGGCGAAGGCGGCAUCCUGGACCGGUAUUGACGCUGAGGCGCGAAAGCUAGGGGAGCAAACGGG